UUCAUAAUUGAAAGUAAACAUUGAUGGCAUUAUAAGGAACAGAACACGACAUGUCAGACAAACCUAAACGUUGUUUGCAGGCUAUCGUUAACCUCCUGACCCAAUACAGUAGUAAUAUCGCUUAAAUCUGUUGUGCCAAAAUGAAAUAUAUGUAGCAAUUGCAGAACAAGAAUAUUUUUUAUAUAUCGACAAAAAUUCAUACUAAGGUUAAUGUCUUGUGCGGAAGCCACGUUUACCUAUGAUGAUACUAGAAAAUGACAGAGCAAAUCUACUAAAAUCCGGAAAAAGGAUUAAAGUAUUAGUUGUAAGUCGUUUAAAUUGUACCUCUGAUAUACUAAUAUCCAUGUCUUCCGUUGACUACAGGUUCCUUUGAUUAUUGCCAAUCGCGGAUUAAAUUACUUUACGUUCUUACUGCAAUUUACAUUGAGAAAAUGAAAUCAUAUCAUAAUUCAGCGAUGUUCUAUGAUUUGGAUUUCGAGAAAUUCAUAAAAUGUUUUCGGGAAAAAUAAAUGGUUGCAAUUCUAUAUCUUCAACAAUCUAAGAUCAUUAUGUUACAAAAUUGUUUGUCAAAAAUAUAGACUUUUUCAGACUAAAUUUACAGACAUGUAGUUGGACAUGUUUAUCUGAAUGUGAAAAAAUUAUUCCUCGCAAAAGUUAAUCAAAAAAUCGUUUUAUUCACUCAAUGCAGACAUGUAAUGGUCCACUUGAAAAGCCUAAACUAAUCACACUAACUACUGUGUCAGAUGUUGGUAAAUUAUCAUAGUAAAUCAUUUUUACCUCAUUGCAUUCCUUUACAAUUUACAUACCAAAAUUGUGCUCUAAUUCUGCAUCCAUUGUCUAUGAGGUCUAAUUCUGCAUCCAUUUCAAAAUCCACAAUUCAAUGGCUAUGAGGUUUAAAAUCUGUUUCAAUUAAAUGAACAAGGUGUCUAGUUCAGUUCUAAUGCUCAAUUGAUUUUUACUUGAAAAAUCUAGGCCAACUAUUAUUUUCCUGUUGCUACCAUGCUUCAACCACUUCUCCAUAGACUAAAAUUAGUAUAAAUCUUACAAAUAACAUGGAAUGUUUGGAAAACUACACCUAAACAGAUUGAGAAAUCGUUUGAUUUUCAUCGAAAACAGGAAUACAAUAACAUCAUGGUGUAGUCCUUGCACUACAUUUCAUUUAGUACCUAAGUUCAUACAAAAGUUCUUAACUACUUCCCCAGACAUUUUAAUCCAUUCAAUGACACUACUCCCUAUGUGGUGGAGUGUUGAAUGACUUAUGCCACCAAUCCAUCCAUUCAUCAGGAUCAGGGAUAUCUAAUACCCUGUAGGACUCCUCCACAAAAUCUUCAUCAUCCUACACUGGUUCAGGCGCAAUCGGCAUCAAUGGUAUGAAGUUAGGAUGAUUCAUAGGUAUAUUCUGAAGACACCAUGCACAUUGAUUUAGUGAGGAGAAUCCAGUUUUUCUGUGAGGUUGCGACAGACGAGAUUGAGACAACUGGAUAGGUUCUUCAAAGAUGGGCUGAUGAAUUGGUGUUGCAUUAUUCAUUGCCAUUGGUGGAUAUGGAUCAAGACGUCUAUGCAGUACAGGCACUGGGUCUCCUCCUGAUGACUGACCUCUCUGCAGAGAAUUUUUUCUCUUAAAAGGCCAGUAUCCCCGCAUUUCAGAUACACCUUUACCUGAGGGAGUUCAAGUUGGAAUAUGCUUGGAAGUAUUGUGUUUCGGAAGAGGACAAUCAGCUACAGUGCCAUCCUUCGACUCAUCGUUACUAAUGACGAUAAUUUCCUUCAUUUUCCUUCUCGUCCUUGCAACAUGAUUGGUCUCCUCCGCGCUUCUUUUCCUUGAACUCAUUAGAAAACUAAAAACCUCCUAAUCAAUAUUUGUCAACUAUAUGAAUUUGUAAUAACAUGCCAUGAAAAAAAAAUCAGGAAUACAUGAGACUAAAUGUGAGAAACAGGGGUACAUGGGAUUUGAAUAAAUGUUAUCAACUGUAGCAGAAAUGUAAAAAUAUUUGAUUAUAAAUGGCUGGUUCUAGAUCAAAUUAGGUGAUGGGAAUGCUAAACUAUUAUCAUAAAAACUAUGGAUAAUUAGAAAUAUCAGUCAAAAUUGGUAGUCCGACUUUGAAAAAAAACAGACACUUGAGUUGUUUAUGAACAUGUCGACCAAAAUUAAUAUCGACUAAGUCAGAGUUGAAAAAAAACCUUCCGAUGAGGACGAUGGGUUGAAGAUGAUUUGUUGUAGUCGGAAGACCUCUCUUCGUUGAUGAAUGGAUGAGGAGAUUGUUGAAAAUAUGAGAUUGUACUUCCCUAUUUAUCUGUGAGGAAGAGCAGCGCCGAAGCCGGGAGGAAUUGCUCGCCAGCCGAUGAGAAAUCGUGAAAAGAGGGGGAGAAAUUAGGUUUAUUCGUAUAACCUAAUUUCAAUGUUAGUUACUACUGUAGUAGUAACUGGAGAUUAGAGAGAGAGUAAUUGUGUAAUCAAAUUGUAUUAUCAUUAAUGUUAAUU
rnacentral:lncRNA from 1 species